UGUUCAGGGAUCACCACAUGAGUGGCUGGUGAGUGGGGAUGGGGGACAGGUGGGAAGGGAGACCCCUGGGAUCCAGGCCCAGCUCCACCUUGGCAGGGUGGCACUGUGAGGGUGUGACAGCUGGGCCCUGAGUUGGGGAGAGAUGAGAUGGGGCACAGGGCUUGGGUUGAUGCUGGCUCUGCUCCUGGUAGGAGCUACAAACGUGUGGACAAAUCGGAUCUCAAGUACCCACUGAUCCACGGACAGGGUAGGCAGGCUCGGUUACUAGGAACACUGGCUGUCUCCCGGGGCCUGGGAGACCAUCAGCUCAGAGUCCUGGACACAAACAUCCAGCUCAAGCCCUUCUUGCUCUCUGUCCCACAGGUGACUGUGCUGGAUGUGGACCAGCUGGAGCUACAGGAGGAUGAUGUGGUUGUCAUGGCAACUGAUGGACUCUGGGAUGUCCUGUCCAACGAGCAGGUGGCAUGGCUGGUGCGGAGCUUCCUCCCUGGGAACCAAAAGGACCCACACAGGUUCUCAAAGCUGGCCCAGAUGCUGAUACACAGCACACAGGGAAAGGAAGACAGUCUCACAGAGGAAGGGCAGGUGUCCUACGAUGACGUCUCUGUGUUCGUGAUUCCCUUGCACAGUCAGGGCCAAGAGAGCAGUGGCCACUGAGGAUUCAGACACUGUAUCCCAGAACUGCUCUAGUGCCCGGGUGUGGUCUGGGCAUCCCUCCAGUGUGACCAAGAGCAAAUCCUGCCUGCCCUAUCCCUAGCCACCGCCCAGUGCUCUCACUAUCCAUCUCAACACACAUCCAUCUCAAGAGGAACAUUUAUACCAGGCAGUCAGAGCUGGAAGUGUAUGGAGAGCCCAGCCCUCCAGGUCCUGCCUUUUGCGGUGAUAACCUUCUCUGGCAGAGUGACUUUACAGCUUAACUAGGAAACCCAUGUGAGGCUCCUCAGACAGGAUCUUCAACAGCCCAAAGUAUCAUUCUCAGAUAGGGGGACCCAGGCUAAGGGUAUUAGCCAAAGAUGCCAGGAUGGGCAGCUAGCCCAUGUUUAGAUCCAGGUCUCCAAUUCAUGGAUGUCAGGGCAUGAGUUCAACAACCCCCAAAGUCCACGCAGGGUGGCUUGUAGAAACCUUUGGGCAGCCUCAUGUCUGCUAAAACUGCCAUCUUCAAGACAGCCCCUGAAAAAAGACCAGUUCAGGUCCUGCCCUGCUGUUCUUUGCUGGAGAUGAGGAACAGGCGCUGGGGCUAAAGUUUGGGGCAGAGCACAAGGGACAAGAGGAACUCUUGGAGUUGGCUGGGUGAGAGGGCUCUCCAUUUGCUACCUGUAGUAGCCUGCCUCCUAACUAACGGUUGAUUCUCCCUAGUUCCAGCCCUGCCCUGGUCUGAUGCCCCAACACUGCCCUUGCUUUGUUUUCCCCGUCACCUCCCUAUUAUUAAAUGUUUUCUACAG
rnacentral:sRNA from 1 species